rnacentral:rRNA from 1 species
AGUGAACGCUGGCGGUAGGCCUAACACAUGCAAGUCGAACGGCAGCACAGUAAGAGCUUGCUCUUACGGGUGGCGAGUGGCGGACGGUUGAGGAAUACAUCGGAAUCUACUUUUUCGUGGGGGAUAACGUAGGGAAACUUACGCUAAUACCGCAUACGACCUACGGGUGAAAGCAGGGGAUCUUCGGACCUUGCGCGAUUGAAUGAGCCGAUGUCGGAUUAGCUAGUUGGCGGGGUAAAGGCCCACCAAGGCGACGAUCCGUAGCUGGUCUGAGAGGAUGAUCAGCCACACUGGAACUGAGACACGGUCCAGACUCCUACGGGAGGCAGCAGUGGGGAAUAUUGGACAAUGGGCGCAAGCCUGAUCCAGCUAUACCGCGUGGGUGAAGAAGGCCUUCGGGUUGUAAAGCCCUUUUGUUGGGAAAGAAAAGCAGCAGGUUAAUACCCCGCUGUUCUGACGGUACCCAAAGAAUAAGCACCGGCUAACUUCGUG